UGCCUUCAUGUGUUGCCCGUUUGUUGCUCUCUUCAAUAAAUGUGGCGUCAGCGAAGGCAUACAGCAAAUCUUGGAUCGGCCUUGGCAAGGUUCUCAUCCGCUAACCUUGUUCUAAGUUUUAGUCCAAGUACAGAU
ensembl:snoRNA small nucleolar RNA SNORA13